ACUCGCCCGCGCAGCAACGGCCUCAAUAGCGCCAGGCCCGCGUCUACAAGAAGCCCGACCAAGGCCGGCGUGGGCGAGGCCUGGCUAGACGCUGACGCACCGCUGGAGCUACUGACCUCGGGACGACUGGCGGACGGUCGCGGGCCUGGAGACCCAGAGCGAGACGGCCUACUUCGUUCUCGAGCCAGCAGAACGGGUUGAACGUGUCGACAACCCCACCCGCCAGUCAGCGGCGCGGGCGUGUUCGAGCCGGCUCGUGGGCGUGGUCAGGUAAGAACUACCCAAAAGCUAGACGACAUUUUCAGAACAUACAAGUACAAAUAAGAAGAGGGAAAAUCACCCGCAGUUCACCCCUGAGCCGCGCGCAUUCCUUAGAUCUCCGUGUUUCUUCCUAAAGGAACGUGGCCUGAUACACAGGUGAGCUUUAUUAGAACGCGGGCUGAUACACAGGUGAGCUUUAUUACUGAUUUUUUUUUUUUAUGGGGAAUCUCGCUCUGUCGCCC
rnacentral:lncRNA from 10 species